rnacentral:rRNA from 1 species
AACGAACGCUGGCGGCAUGCCUAACACAUGCAAGUCGAACGAGAUCUUCGGGUCUAGUGGCGCACGGGUGCGUAACGCGUGGGAAUCUGCCCUUUGGUUCGGAAUAACAGUUGGAAACAACUGCUAAUACCGGAUGAUGACAAAAGUCCAAAGAUUUAUCGCCAGAGGAUGAGCCCGCGUAGGAUUAGCUAGUUGGUGUGGUAAAGGCGCACCAAGGCGACGAUCCUUAGCUGGUCUGAGAGGAUGAUCAGCCACACUGGGACUGAGACACGGCCCAGACUCCUACGGGAGGCAGCAGUGGGGAAUAUUGGACAAUGGGCGAAAGCCUGAUCCAGCAAUGCCGCGUGAGUGAUGAAGGCCUUAGGGUUGUAAAGCUCUUUUACCCGGGAUGAUAAUGACAGUACCGGGAGAAUAAGCUCCGGCUAACUCCGUGCCAGCAGCCGCGGUAA